CUCCGCUCCAUGCCCAGGCCCACAGCAGUAGAAAAUAAUGUGAAACACUCUUAAGAUCACUUAAUGUGAAAACGUGCUUAAAGUACUAAGACCCAAAUUCAGCAUACACUAAAUAACUAUGUAUUCGCGAUGCAACUUCAUAAACAGAUAAGCCAACAAACCAUUGAUAAGACUAAUGCAAUGCCAUGUUAUGCAAUGCCUGUUUCAGUUUUAAAAUGGUCAUGUGUUCAGAAUAAAGGCUCUCAAAGGUGUGGGAGAGUUUUGGUUUAUGCUUCAGUAAAUCAAAAAUAAAUCAAAAAUAAAUAUAGCCUAAUUAACAAAUUUUUAUGCAAAAUAAUUAUUUUUAUUUUUUAUUUCCAUUGUUAAAAAGGAAUCAUGGACACAAAUGAACAUUAAUUUCUGUGUUUUGCAUCAGACAUAAAUCAAUUUAAUGUGGGUCUAAACAAAACACUGACAAUAGAUGGUCAGAACAGAAAGCCUGAUGAGUACAAUGAAACAAUCCCGAUCAGUGUGUUAACCUGACUUCAGAAGUCCCCACCGCGACCACCCCUCCCCCACUGGAUGAUGCAAUCGCGCGCGGCCGCGCGGCCGCCAUUUUAGUUUCUAAUUGAAGCGGUGCAGGUAGCGCAGAACACACUAACGCGAGCGCGACGCAACAGGACACAUCAUCAGAGAUUUCAUCGAGUGAAGAACGCAUGAUGGAGGGAAAAAGGUAAGACUUGUUAUAUAAAUAUCAUGUUAAAUUUAGAAUUCUGUUUAUAGACUGACCAUUUAACAGAUACUGUUAAGAUUGCUUUGGGUAAAUAGCAAGGCUAACGUUAGUUGUUCACUUUUAAGGUUAACUAAUGUUAGCAAGCAUAUUGAUUUGUGUCGUAAUUAACUUUCAGUACAUUAACUGAGAACUAUUUGAAGGCCUUAACCUAAAAGCACGUUUGUUGUAAACAUUUUUCAUACACUAUAAGGUAAUAAAUAAAACUAAUGUGCUUUAAAGAUUUUCCAGUGUCAUAUUCAUAAUUGAAAAGUUUAAACUUGGAGGUUAUGUUAGUAAUGCUGACUCCAAGUUCACGCCUGCGUUAGAAUUGGCGUGAUAUUAACUGUUUAUUUCUUCAGUGGAAUUUGUGCUCCAAAAGACAGUAUAAACAUGUUUUGUUAACGUAAGAGUAAGUUAAUUAAUUUAAUACUAGCCGCUUCUAGUUGUAUAUCACACGUGGCCUAAUGCUGAGUUUAGUAUGUGUACAUUUAUUAAUAUUUUACUUUGCUUCCAUAUAGAUUAAACAAAGAGACAUUCGGCUAUACAGAAGGACAUGGAUAGUGACGCAGACGCUGUAAUCCUAGAAUUACCCGGUUCUUCAUCAUCAAGAGCCUGUGAUGUCCCAGAGCAAAGGAGGACAGAGAGUGUAUUUGUGCCUCAAGAUACCCCAAAUAAAGAAAGUGGAAAGUCUGAAGAGGAGGUAAAGGCAGUGGAAAGAGAACUAUUGGACUGCAUCACUUCUGGCACGGUACCUGGUAAAAAGAAGUGUGAAGACUGCAUCAGGUCAGCGCCUCGAAUCCAUAAGCUCAGAACGUGGGAAUCGGUCAAAUUUUACAAUAACAAUGUACUUACAUUUUAAAUUUACAUUUACAUAAAAAUUGGCCCAUGAGGCAAUUUGUUCCGGCCCUCCAAAUAAUGUGACCAAGACAUCAAAAAUAAAUUUAUUUCAGUUGAAAAACAGCCGCUAUAGUUAUGAAGGGAUGUGCGUUUGUUCAAUAUAGCACGAGCUGCAGAUGAAGACCACGCAGAGAGUGAGUCUCCUGACAAGCGAGUGGCACGAGCAGUUGAAAACAUUUGGAUACUUAAUCUUGAAGGCUUCUCAACACCGCAUUUCUGUUGCACGGAAUGAAACUGCUGCAACUAAACAAAGUUAUGCCAGCUGUGCGCUAGUCUAAAGUUCCGAGUUUAUAUACCAAGGCUAAUACGCACGCACACUGGAUUAACUAUAGCAGCGGGUCGUUCACAUAUCGAUUCGAGUUCGAUAUUUCCAGUAUUAGAAUAUAUGCCAAUAUGCGUGCGCAAGCGCCUUCCAGACGCACUGAGUAGAAAACAUCUCACACCGUAGCGGUGAGAGUUGUGCGUGGCUUUCAGUGCAAUGUAAACAAAAGAAAUGUUAGACGAAUUAUUAUAAAUUAUUCAAAUGAUUAUGCAUGUUAGACUGAAGAUAAUAACAGUUUUUUUAAGUACUUUCCUAAUAUACAGCUUAAAUUUACAUUAGAACCAUGAAACCAUGAUUAUUCUUCAGACUAUAUAAUCGUAGAACCAAAAUCUAUAAUUGUUGCAUCUGUAAUUGUUAUGCAGUUCAAAACAUAACAUGAAUGUGUCUGAAUGUAGAAGAAGCCUACUUGAGCAAUGCACUGCUUUUGUUGUGCUCUGAAAUACAACAUCUGAAUAUGUUUGUAAAUAAUCCUAUUGUACAGUGCAGUGAUGUUAUGUAGUUUCAAAAUACAAUAUAUUCACAUUUUAAUGUAGAAAACAAUCAGUCAUUUCUGUUGAGCACAUGUACACAAUGGCAAAUCAGCGCUGUUAAAGAAUAUGCUCAAAUGUUAGCAGUAAAUGGACAUUUUUAGAAUACAGAUUGGUACCAAACACUUUUUUUCAAUACAGAUUGGUACCAAACCCCAAUUUGUACAAUGAGAUUUCCAAAUGUUGUACUACAGUGAAAAUGUUUGCCUAAAUGAAAUGUGAAAUAAAGUUCAGGGCAAAUGAUUUUUGCCAAAGAACAGUUUAUUGAAUGAAAUUCAUUUGAAUUUUAACGCAUUUGCAGUACAGUUGCGCAUUAUCCAU